rnacentral:lncRNA from 13 species
CAGGGCUGUUAAGAGGCCAUCUCUGCCUUUGCACGAGACCUCCCUGCACUCUCUACCUCCGGAGAUGAAAGGCUGAAAUGGUGCCCACACCCUCUGGUGUACAAUUCACAAGUCUGUCAUUUUGACUGCAAGGUCUGGGAACCCUCUGUGUAUGGCUAGUGAUGGAGAGAGGCUGUUGCAAAGCUGUGCAAGAGCAGAGGGCAAUAAGUGGAACCUAAACCCAAGUGUGGAGUUACUUUUGUAGAUAAUGCCAGUAAAUGCCAGUUCACAUGCCAGGUACUUCUUCCCAGAAAUCCUAAGUCUCUACAGCUGAUAGAAACCCAGGCUUUCAGAUGGAACCAAUGUCCCUUCACCUCAAGCUGUGUCACAAAAGUUGGAUCUUCGUCUGCUCUUCCACUUCCUAGCCUGAAAAGAUCACCUCUAAAGUGGGAACACCUGGCCCAACAGCUUUCAGUGGCCCUGCUGUUGCUGCUCCAUUAUGAUGCUGCUGAUUCCCUACGCACCCUCUUUCCCCAAAGAGAUUGUAGAAAGUGAAGAGACAACAUCCAGCCCGUCAAAGGCAACACUGCAGUGAGAUCGCUGGGACCUACGUUUCAGCAAAAUAAGCCAAUACGUAAUGAAAAUAAUACUACUC